UUGACAGGUCGGCGUUAAACCUGCUCUGUCCACUGUGUGAGACGAACAGGUGGAGGGUGGACGACGCAGAGAAAGCUCGGAGCGGGCCGCGGAGGUUCCCACAGCCCCAUUACUGUCAGCGUUGAGCCGCACCCCUCCGGGCCGCACUUCCUCUCUCAGUCCCCGCUGCCGGAGAGCCCCGCUAGGCUCGGUGAUCCUAGCCUGCAGUUUGCCGCCGCUACACCUUGGCUUCAGCCUGCGGGAGGUUUCAGCUGUAAGGAGCAUCCUCCUCUCUCAGGAUGACUUCAGCCUCCAGCCCCCCAGCUUUCAGGCUGGAGACUUCCGAUGGAGAUGAAGAGGGCAAUGCUGAGGUGAACAAGGGGAAGCAGGAACCGCCCCCCAUGGAGUCACCAUU
rnacentral:lncRNA from 1 species